GCGUGACGGCGCGAGCAGGUGCGAAAGCAGGUCAUAGUGAUCCGGUGGUUCUGAAUGGAAGGGCCAUCGCUCAACGGAUAAAAGGUACUCCGGGGAUAACAGGCUGAUACCGCCCAAGAGUUCAUAUCGACGGCGGUGUUUGGCACCUCGAUGUCGGCUCAUCACAUCCUGGGGCUGAAGUAGGUCCCAAGGGUAUGGCUGUUCGCCAUUUAAAGUGGUACGCGAGCUGGGUUUAGAACGUCGUGAGACAGUUCGGUCCCUAUCUGCCGUGGGCGCUGGAGAACUGAGGGGGGCUGCUCCUAGUACGAGAGGACCGGAGUGGACGCAUCACUGGUGUUCGGGUUGUCAUGCCAAUGGCACUGCCCGGUAGCUAAAUGCGGAAGAGAUAAGUGCUGAAAGCAUCUAAGCACGAAACUUGCCCCGAGAUGAGUUCUCCCUGACCCUUUAAGGGUCCUGAAGGAACGUUGAAGACGACGACGUUGAUAGGCCGGGUGUGUAAGCGCAGCGAUGCGUUGAGCUAACCGGUACUAAUGAACCGUGAGGCUUAACCUU
rnacentral:rRNA from 1 species